rnacentral:lncRNA from 1 species
CUACACCAGCUCUUAGAACAGUGUUUGGCACAUAGUGCUUUACAAAUACCAUUAUUAUUAUUAUGUAUAUAUCUGUAAUUUCACUUAUUAAUAUUGAUGCCUGUUUACUUGUAUUGAUGUCUGUCUCCACCCCUUAGACCGUGAGCCCGUUGUGGGCAGGGAUUGUCUCUCUCUAUUGCUGUAUUGUACUUCCCCAAGUGCUUAGUUCAGUGCUCUGCACACAGUAAGCGCUCAAUAAAUAUGACUGAAGGAAGGAAUGUCCCAAAGAGAGGUCAGUUCUUGCAAGCCAGUCCCUUCCACCAGAACGCGCUGCUCCAGCCCCUCCACUUCCUCCCAGAGCCCCCCACCAGUAGCCCCCAAGUUGACCGUGGUGGGGAGGUGGGCAUGAUUGUGACGUCACGCCCGAUCGGGUGAGGUCACAGGCAUCCUGCGAGGAGGGGCCGGGAGAGGAGGCAGGAGGCGGCCGAGGGUGCGGGUGGUGGGUGCAGGUCUUCUCCAUGGAGCGGUCGGGGGUCACCCUCCGCCGGGUUCCCCCCCUGGCAGUCAUCGUGCUGCUGCUGCUGCUUCUGCUGCCGGUGCCCGGGGUGACCCCCCAUAAGGGCAGGCUGGGCCGGCGCGGGAGGAGCCCCCCAGCGGAGGACAAUGCGGUGAUGCCCGCAGGCCCAGGUGAGGGGCAGGAGCUGCUGGAAGAGACAUUCAUCGUGUCCUCGGUGGGGGAGGACCUCCAGACCGUGAACAUGGCAAGACCGGAGGAGGAGGAGGCGGGGGAGAAGGGCGAGGAAGAGGAGGAGGAGGGCGGCGCGGUGGUGGCAGAGGCGGCGGCUCUGCGGGACCACCUCUUCGACCUGGCCUUCUGCUUCAACCUGGCCAGCAUCCUGAUUUUUUUAUGAGGGACGUCGAGGCCGAGGUCAUCGGCUGGUUCCUGGACGAGGACCUGGACAUCUACCUCCGCUUCGUGAUCUCCUACUGACCCAUCCCCAACCCUGCGGCCUCGCCCUGGCCCGAGGAGCGCUGAUGUGGGGGGAGGGGAGCUAUCCCCCACCACCCCCGGCCGCCUCCCUUCAGAUUCCUCGACAGCAGCAGCAGCAAAUAAAGCCGAGGAGAGCUAGGCCUCGCUGUCCAUCCGUCCUUCUGUCCGGGUGUCCUGUCCAUCUGACUCUCCGCUCCCUCCUUGCAGCUUAACACGCCUGUCAGCCCAGCCCCCGCAUUGACCCUUGCCUCUCUCCCAGCCUUUCCCCUC